rnacentral:lncRNA from 1 species
UUCUGCACAAUUUAAAGAAAUCCCAGUCAUUAUCACAACACAACAGUGAGUAAUUUGAUAAUGAACUUAUGUAAAUGAAAGCACAUGGUAAUUAAUCUAAAAAUAUAGCCAUUUAGGAGGGGCUAAUAUGUCAAUCAUCUGUUGAUACCAGUGUCCAGAUGUUAAUCUCUGACCACAAGAUAGAUAGUGUGGUCUUAUCUCAUUGUAUCAUGUGUGUUGUAACAAAAGUAAUUUAUAUUACAUGGAAGUAAACAGAGAAAAGGAAAAGAUAUGAAAAGGAGAAAAUCUAAAGGGAAAAAAUUUAACCAAAAUGAAAAAAUAGUUAUCAAAAGUACCAGGAUUAUAAACUAUAUAUAUGAUUAAGACUGUGAAAGUAUCUUUGAAAGUGAGAGGUUUAGCUAGCUAUAAAACCAAGUUCAAUCCAC